rnacentral:rRNA from 1 species
UGGGGAAUAUUGCACAAUGGGCGAAAGCCUGAUGCAGCAACGCCGCGUGAGGGACGACGGCCUUCGGGUUGUAAACCUCUUUUAGCAAGGAAGAAGCGAAAGUGACGGUACUUGCAGAAAAAGCGCCGGCUAACUACGUGCCAGCAGCCGCGGUAAUACGUAGGGCGCAAGCGUUAUCCGGAAUUAUUGGGCGUAAAGAGCUCGUAGGCGGUUUGUCGCGUCUGCUGUGAAAACCCGAGGCUCAACCUCGGGCCUGCAGUGGGUACGGGCAGACUAGAGUGCGGUAGGGGAGAUUGGAACUCCUGGUGUAGCGGUGGAAUGCGCAGAUAUCAGGAAGAACACCGAUGGCGAAGGCAGAUCUCUGGGCCGUAACUGACGCUGAGGAGCGAAAAGGGUGGGGAGCAAAACAGGCUUAGAUACCCUGGUAGUCCACCCCGUAAACGUUGGGAACUAGUUGUGGGGUCCAUUCCACGGAUUCCGUGACGCAGCUAACGCAUUAAGUUCCCCGCCUGGGGAGUACGGCCGCAAGG